GUGAGGAAUAUUGCGCAAUGGAGGCAACUCUGACGCAGCCAUGCCGCGUGCAGGAAGAAGGCGCUACGCGUUGUAAACUGCUUUUAACCGGGAAGAAACCCCAGGACGUGUCCUGGGUUGACGGUACCGGAGGAAUAAGCACCGGCUAACUUCGUGCCAGCAGCCGCGGUAAUACGAAGGGUGCAAGCGUUAUCCGGAUUCAUUGGGUUUAAAGGGUGCGUAGGCGGAGCGUUAAGUCAGUGGUGAAAUACGGCAGCUUAACUGUGGACUGGCCAUUGAUACUGGCGCGCUUGAGUGCGCUUGAAGUGGGCGGAAUGUGCCGUGUAGCGGUGAAAUGCUUAGAUAUGGCACAGAACACCAAUUGCGAAGGCAGCUCACUAAGGCGAUACUGACGCUGAUGCACGAAAGCGUGGGGAUCGAACAGGAUUAGAAACCCUGGUAGUCC
rnacentral:rRNA from 1 species